rnacentral:rRNA from 1 species
GGGGGCAGCAAUUAGGAAUCUUGCACAAUGGGCGAAAGCCUGAUGCAGCGACGUCGCGUGGAGGAUGAAGUCUUUCGGGACGUAAACUCCUUUUACCGGGGAAGAAACAAAUGACGGUACCCGGUGAAUAAGCCCCGGCUAACUACGUGCCAGCAGCCGCGGUAAUACGUAGGGGGCCAGCGUUGUCCGAAGUUACUGGGCGUAAAGAGCGCGUAGGCGGGUCUUUAAGUGAGGGGUGAAAGGUUCGGGCUCAACCCGGACACUGCCUUUCAUACUGGGGGCCUUGAGUGUGGGAGAGGCGAGUGGAAUUCUUGGUGUAGCGGUGAAAUGCGUAGAUAUCAAGAGGAACACCCAUGGCGAAGGCAGCUCGCUGGCCCACCACUGACGCUGAGGCGCGAAAGCUGGGGGAGCAAACAGGAUUAGAUACCCUGGUAGUCCCAGCCGUAAACGAUGAAUACUAGGUGUCAGGGGUAUCGACCCCCCUGGUGCCGCAGCUAACGCAAUAAGUAUUCCGCCUGGGGAGUACGGCCGCAAGGUUGAAACUCAAAGGAAUUGACGGGGGCCCGCACAAGCGGUGGAGCAUGUGCAUUAAUUCGUCACUAACCGAAGAACCUUACCAGGGUUUGACAUCCUCCGCCCGCCGGUGAAAGUCGGCUUUCCCCGCAAGGGGACGGAGAGACAGGUGUUGCAUGGUUGUCGUCAGCUCGUGUCGUGAGAUGUUGGGUUAAGUCCCGCAACGAGCGCAACCCUCACCCAAUGUUGCCAGCGUAAAGUCGGGAACUCUUUGGGAACUGCCCGUGUAAGCGGGAGGAAGGUGGGGAUGACGUCAAAUCGGCAUGGCCCUUACACCCUGGGCUUGACACAUGCUACAAUGGACGUUGAACAGAGCGAAGCAAGGCCGCGAGGCGGAGCCAAUCGCAAAAAUACGUUCUCAGUUCGGAUUGCAGGCUGCAACUCGCCUGCAUGAAGUCGGAAUCGCUAGUAACCGCAGGUCAGCUAAACUGCGGUGAAUACGUUCCCGGGCCUUGUACACACUGCCCGUCAAGUCACCUGAGUUGUCUGCAGCCGAAGCCAGUGGCCUAACCGCAAGGAGGGAGCUGUCUAAGCUGUGGGGAGCGAGGGGGACUAAGUCGUAACAAGGUAGCCGUACUGGAAGGUGCGGCUG